rnacentral:lncRNA from 1 species
AAAGGCUGAUGCUUCACCUCAAAAGUUGUUAGUUAUAUGCUUUUUUCCCACCUAUUUGUGGGAUAUUCUUGAGAUAAAGCGGUGAUGGUUCACCUCAAAAGCUGUUACUUGUGUAUGCAUGAGAGGAUUCUAAACAACUCUAUCGAGCUGAUCAACAAUAGGAGAAAGAUAGAGUACCUUUUGUAGCUAGCCUAGCACGCUAUAGACCUUUUGUAGCUAGCCUAGCACGCUAUAGACCUACAUGGAACAAGAGCCAAGUCGAAGAUAUUCCUUUCAUUCUUUGAUACCCCUCUCUUCUUAUGCAUUUAUAUGCAUCAGACAUACAUACAAAGAUACUAUGCAUUGUAUGGACAGAUAGGCAUAGAAGUGUGAAGUUUCGGCUUUUAUAAUCCAUAUUCUGACAUAUCUGUAAGAAGAACUUUGGGACGAAAAUACUGGCUGAAAGGUGAGAAAGCCGAUACCACAGAAGUAAUAUCAAUCCUCCCAGGAUAUCCCGACAAUGUGAGAGCAAAUGAAAGAAAUGAAUUCUGGGUAGCAAUCCACUGUCGGCGCACCAUUUACAGUUACAUAAAUGCCAUAUACCCAGCACUUCGUCAAUUCUUGCUGAAGCUUCCCGUCUCUGCAAAGCUCCAAUACCUCAUGCACAUUGGAGGCCGGCUCCAUGCAGUCGUUGUGAAGUACAGCCCCGAAGGCAAGCUGUUACAGAUACUGGAAGAUCGACAAGGUAAAGUCGUUAAAGCUGUCAGCGAGGUAGAGGAAAGGGAAGGGAAGCUUUGGAUGGGGAGUGUUCUAAUGUCUUUCAUCUCAGUUUACCAACUAGAAUGAACUCAGGAGCUUUUGCUUUGCUUUCUUUCAUACUUCCAUUGACAAUCACUUCUCAUUUAGUUUGCCAGAAGACUAGUAUUGCAAAAGACUCAUUUUACUUUUGCUUUCUUUCAUACUUCCAUUAUCAAUCACUUCUCAUUUAGUUUGCCAGAAGACUAGUACUGCAAAAGACUCAUUUUAACUUAGAUUUGUAUGUAGCAUCUAUUUAAAUAAGCACUGUUAUAAGCAAGUCUAUCUGAGGAACAUAUAUGUAACCCCUUAUUUUAUGAGAAAUAUUCUUAGAGGAGGCUUUCUUAAAUCAAGCCAAAUCAUUUUGCAUAAUUCUGAGAUUUUAAAAAUUAAAACGUUCUAAUCGCA